GUCGAGGGGCAGCACGAUUGCUUGCAAUUGGUGGCGACCGGCGCACGGGUGCGUAACGCGUAUGCAACCUACCCUUUACAGGAGGAUAGCCCGGGGAAACCCGGAUUAAUACUCCAUAAUAUUAUAAGGCAGCAUUGUCUAAUAAUUAAAGAUUUAUCGGUAAAGGAUGGGCAUGCGUAAGAUUAGCUAGUUGGUAAGGUAACGGCUUACCAAGGCUACGAUCUUUAGGGGGCCUGAGAGGGUGAACCCCCACACUGGUACUGAGACACGGACCAGACUCCUACGGGAGGCAGCAGUGAGGAAUAUUGCGCAAUGGAGGAAACUCUGACGCAGCCAUGCCGCGUGAAGGAAGAAUGCCCUACGGGUUGUAAACUUCUUUUAUUUGGGAAUAAACCCCUCUACGUGUAGAGGGCUGAAGGUACCAAACGAAUAAGGACCGGCUAACUCCGUGCCAGCAGCCGCGGUAAUACGGAGGGUCCAAGCGUUAUCCGGAUUCAUUGGGUUUAAAGGGUGCGUAGGCGGCUUAAUAAGUCAGUGGUGAAAGACUGUGGCUCAACCAUAGAAUUGCCAUUGAAACUGUUAAGCUUGAAUCUAGUUGAA
rnacentral:rRNA from 1 species